CCUUUAUCAUAUACUUCACUUUUCUUACGAUAUACCUACACACUUCUUCCUCCAUAUUUCUGUAACCUUUCCACUUCUCUAAACUUCAUUUCGUAUGCAUCAUAUUGAUAAUAUUUGAUAAUCCUUAUCACUUGUUGUUGCACUAACAAGAUCCUUGAUCACAUUCUUCUAUUACUUGCUUGAAAAUGGAAGGGACAUCUUUUGUGUAUCUUUUGCUUCUCCUUGUUAACAUUACUUCACUAUUGCUACAAUGUCACGGAACAUCCAAAGAUGAC